rnacentral:lncRNA from 1 species
UAGUCCUAGAUAUAGAAUAGAGUGUUGUGUAGAAGAUCGGAGUUUGGAAUAUCAAUGACCUCUAGUUCAGGUUUGUUAAAUUCCCUUAAGAACUCUAGUUAAUGUAUUUGCUUAGUUGUGUUUGUUUUGUUUGAUUCUAUAGUAUCUAUUUAUCUUGUGUGUUGAGUUUCUUGUGAUCAAUGGAUUGGGCUAACACAUAUGACCAAUCAAGUUUAAUUGUUUAAACAAUAUUUGCAGACGAUCCGAGUCAUCCGACUUGUUCUCUCUCUCUCAUAGAAUGGCCAAUGUUCUAUUGUUCUUGAAAAUGUGAUGUAAAUUGAUUCAGUUUCAUACAUACAAACAUAUAUUUAUGCCGUAAGUCCAUCGAUCAAAAAAAGUGCUUUAUUCAAGCAAGUUCUUAGAGUUAUAGUUGGAUAGGAAGAUUUACAGAUACAAGCGUACAUCAGCUUAAUUAAUAGCUAAUAUUAUUGUUCGAAAAGUAGAAAGCUCGAUCAACAGAAGAAGGUUUUAGCUAGCUAGAGUUUAAGAUUUUGCCGAAGCAAGAAGUAUUGCUCUUCCACCUUUGAAAUAGGUCAACAUUGCACUGCGAUCAGGAAGGUGCUCUUUGAUUGUGGGGAUGUCCUUGAACCGUUGAAUCCAGGCAUGCAAGCGAGGGAAGGUUUCGGCUUCAAUCCCCUUCACCCCAGCUAGUUCACUCAUGACAUCCAUCCACCAAGCUAGCCACCCGAAUUCCAAAUCAGCCAUUCCAAGCUCAUCUCCUCCGAAAAACUUCUUGUCUCCGAGUCCCUGCUCUUCCAAGAUUGUCAGCUGCUCUUGCCUUUCUUUUGUUGCUUUCACUUGCUGUUCUCCCUCAGUCAUGAAAAAUCCAAACAGGGCUCCGAACUAUGUGACAUGCACAAAACAUCUACAUUACUUCGACUUGAAUAUAAUGCGCGCGAUCUUUUAUUUAUGUUAUGUCGUUAGACCGUCAGUUGUCAACUCGUUAUAUAAACAAACAUGCAUACUUGCAUGCGACUACAAACUACUCAUUUCAUCAUGUAACGUAAUUGAAAUAGUAGUGAUCAUCAAUUACCUUGUCCUCUCCGAACUUUAUCCAGAACCGGGCCAAAGCUCGUUGAUGAGGGUCUUUAGGAAGCAAGGGGUUCUGCGGCCAUGUCUCUUCGAUGUACUCAAGUAUUACAGCAGACUCUGCGAUUGGUUUUCCGGCAUGAACAAGAACGGGAACCUUCUUAUGGACUGGGUUGUACUUCAGAAGACGAUCACUCUUGUUGUGUAACACAUCCUCUUCAACAUACUCGUAGUCUACACCCUUGAGUUUAAGUGCCCAGAUAACCCUGUAAACAUAUGGACUCGACCAAGCUCCUAACACUGUAACUUGUGACAUUUUUGCUGGUUCUGUUAUGAUCCUAGACUGGUUUCUACAUGACUAUAUAUGCCUCGCAUUCAAUUUGGUUACCUUGUGCUUCAAUUAAUCUACAUGGUCGGGAAGGAUUAGAGGCCAAUUUGUCCUUCUUUUGCUAUUGUUUACUCUACUUUUAAAUAUGUAGUUGGUAUAAAAGAGAUAAGAUAUCAUUUUCGCCAAGUUUCUCUUUUAUUUGAGGACCAUAUUUCUCUGGAAAAUACAAAAGACUUGUCAAGCAAGUCAUACUAGACCCUUAAUCUUCCUAAAGUUGACCAGAGUUUGGACUACAUACUUAUAAAAUACAACGAACCCAAUCCUUACGUUGAGGGCAGCUGUUGGUUGUUGUGAAAAGGGAAAGAGACACAUUGUUUACAUAAAUGUAAGAAGUGAUGAAGCUGCUAGGAUUAGGAAUAUGGCUUCUAGUCUCUUACGUUACAAGAGUCAGUGGAUCUAGAAACUUGUUAACAAAGAUCAAAGUCUCUUCCUUUAAACUAUAAUAUAAGGAUUAAAAUCUCUGUGAUAUAUUUGAUAUAUCCUCCGAUAUCUCUAUUUUUUUAAGGACCGAUAUAUCUAGAGUGGUAAAUAUAUUAUCUUCCACUGUAUCUUCCAUAUAUCUAGAGGUGUUGUUCUUAGCGAUUUUAUCAAAGACCACUUUGGGUUUCUUGUUGAUUUUUUAAAUCCUAACCCUUAAACCCUAUACCCUAAACCUAUACCCUAACUAUAUAUAUAUCCUAUACCCUAACUAUAUAUCCUAUAUCCUGUACCCUAAACCCUGUACCCUAAACCCUAGGCCAAACUCAUUAAAAACCCAAGACGGUAAUUUCACAAAACAUAGAAAAACUUAGUUUAUAUUUUAGUUGUAAUAAAUUUACGUGUCAAAAUUUAAUUGACAAGAGAGGACCACGUCAGACUGCCACUUGGUCCUUUGGGAGCAUUUAAAAAUUUCUCCUAAUUGAGUUGAUUGGUUGAGGUGAUUGAUCAAAAGUAUAAAUGAUAUACAAAUCAAGGAUAUAUGUGAUUCUAUAUUAAUUGGUUUCCUUUAUGGGAGGAUUCCAUACUAAUUAGUUGAAUCCUAUAUAAACCUGGUCCCUAUACAGUCUAUCCACCAGUUGCUAAAAGUCUAGUCCUAGAUAUAGAAUAGAGUGUUGUGUACAAGAUCGGAGUUUGGAAUAUCAAUGGCUUCUAAUUCAGGUUUGUUAAUUGAAUUCCCUUAAGAACUCUAGUUAGUGUAUUUGCUUAGUUGUGUUUGUUUUGUUUGAUUCUAUAGUAUUUAUUUAUCUUGUGUGUUGAGUUUCUUGUGAUCAAUGGAUCGAGGCUAACACAUCUGACCAAUCAAGUUUAAUUGUUUAAACAAUAUUUGAAGACGAUCCAAGUCAUCCGACUCUCUCUCUCUCUNNNNNNNNNNNNNNNNNNNNUCUCUCUCUCUCUCUCUCUCNCUCUCUUCUCUCUCUCUCUCUCUCUCUCUCUCUCUCUCUCUCUCUCUCUCUCUCUCUCAUAGAAUGGCCAAUGUUCUAUUGUUCUUGAAAAUGUGAUGUAAAUUGAUUCAGUUUCAUACAUACAAACAUAUAUUUAUGCCAUAAGUCCAUCGAUCAAAAAAAGUGUUUUAUUCAAGCAAGUUCUUAGAGUUAUAGUUGGAUAGGAAGAUUACAGAUACAAGCGUACAUCAGCUUAAUUAAUAGCUAAUAUUAUUGUUCGAAAAGUAGAAAGCUCGAUCAACAGAAGGAGGUUGUAGCUAGCUAUAGUUUAAGGUUUUGCAGAAGCAAGAAAUAUUGCUCUUCGACCUUUGAAAUAGGUCAACAUUGCACUGCGAUCAGGAAGGGGCUCUUUGAUUGUGGGGAUGUCCUUGAACCGUUGAAUCCAGGCAUGCAAGCGAGGGAAGGUUUCGGCUUCAAUCCCCUUAACCCCAGCUAGUUCACUAAUGACAUCCAUCCACCAAGCUAGCCACCCGAAUUCCAAAUCAGCCAUUCCAAUCUCGUCACCACCGAAAAACUUCUUGUCUCCGAGGCCCUGCUCUUCCAAGAUUCUCAGCUGCUCUUGCCUUUCUUUUGUUGCUUUCACUUGCUGUUCUCCCUCAGUCAUGAAAAAUCCAAACAGGGCUCCUAACUAUGUGACAUGCACAAAAUAUCUACAUUACUUCGAUUUGAAUAAAAUGCGCGCGAUCUUUUAUUUAUGUUUUGUCGCUAGACCGUCAGUUGUCAACUCGUUAUAUAAACAAACAUGCAUACUUGCAUGCGACUACAGACUACUCAUUUCAUCAUGUAACGUAAUUGAAAUAGUACGUUGAGUGAUCAUCAAUUACCUUGUCCUCUCCGAACUUUGUCCAGAACCGCGCCAAAGCUCGUUGAUGGGGGUCCUUAGGAAGCAAGGGGUUCUGCGGCCAUGUUUCUUCGAUGUACUCAAGUAUGACAGCAGACUCUGCGAUUGGUUUUCCGGCAUGAACAAGAACGGGAACCUUCUUAUGGACUGGGUUGUACUUCAGAAGACGGUCACUCUUGUUGUGUAACACAUCCUCCUCUACAUACUCAUAGUCUACACCCUUGAGUUUAAGCGCCCAGAUAACCCUGUAAACAAAUGGACUAGGCCAGAAUCCUAACACUGUAACUUGUGACAUUUUUGCUGGUUCCGUUAUGAUCCUAGACUGGUUUCUACAUGUAUAUAUAUGCCUCGCAUUCAACUUGGUUAUCUUGUGCUUCAAUUAAUCUACAUGGUCGGGAAGGAUUAGAGGCCAAUUUGUCCUUCUUUCGCUAUUGGUUACUCUACUUUAAAUAUGUGGUUGGUAUAAAAGAGAUAAGAUAUCGUUUUAAAUACAAAAGACUUGUCAAGCAAGUCAUACUAGACCAUUCAUCUUCCUAAAGUUGACAAGAGUUUAGACUACAUAUAAAAUACAACGAAGCCAAUCCUUACGUUGAGGGCAGCUGUUGGUUGUGAAAAGGGAAAGAGACACAUUGCUUACAGAAAUGUAAGAAGUGAUGAAGCUGCUAGGAUUACAAGAGUCACUGGAUCUAGAAACUAGGGGUCAAGUAUAUGUGAAUCGAAAGAGAAACUUGUUUAGAAGAUCAAAGUCUUCCUGUAAAGUAUAACAUGCUUCGCAAGAAGAUUUUGGUGCUCGUUCGAGGAGCUUAAUUGCUCACUAAAUCCAGAGCUAUACUAAUGAUCAUAUAAUAUCCUCCACCAAAUGAGGGAUGUAAAAACUAUUCUUGUGUUUAAAAAUACUAGCAUCUUACUCCUGCAUUUACACAAGGGAACUCACAAAAUCACUAUAAAUGGUUAAUUUUGGUUUGUAGGCUUGGUUUUUGACGUUGGAAUUACAUACUGCUACCUUAAAUAGUUGCAUAAUACACAAAACCUAUAUUUUAAAAUAUUUAAACAAAUAAUGCCAGAAGCCCAAGCUCGUAAAGAAUAGUAUCAGGCUUGAUCUGUAACGUUGAUGUGAAAAUGACUGAAAACCCGUGUUUUAUGAAAUAACUACAACAUUGACAUUGACAGAAACCAAAACCGUUCUCUCUCUCUCUCUGAUCCCUAAAAUCGUCGAUAUCUUUCUCACCAUUCCAAAACCAAGUGCUAUUGUUUGGUCACAAUAUUUCCAAAACCAUGUUGUAUCAUCACAAUAUUACUCCUUACAAGACCAAACAAGAGGAGCUGAACCAAGUUGAAGCAAGGAAUCGAGUCAAUCGGGUCACGGAUUGAGUGGCAGCGAAUCGGGUUGGCUGGGUUUGGGAUUAGAGAUUGAGUAGUAGUGGUAGUGAUUCGAUUUGGGAAUUUGUAAUUUAGAUCUCAACAGACCUUAUAAUCAGAAACAGAGAAGUAUGUAAAUGGCGAGGAGCUUGACGACUUAGAAAGGGGUGGUGGUAGAGUAGUCGGUCUCGUUGAUGAUGAGUUUGUAGCUUUUGAGGGUUAUGUUCAGAUCUUACUGCUACUGAUGCCAUGACGAUCAUGUCAUGCUGCUACUGUUGUAGAUUUCAGGUUUUGCUGCUACUGCUGCCAUGACUAUUAGGUUAUGUUGCUACUGUUGUAGAUUUUACUACUACUGCUACUUAUGGUCAGGUCUUGCUGCUACUGUUGUCGGUGUUUAAUUUGGGUUUCUUAUUGAAUUUGAAGUUGCAGAUGAAUAUGAUGUGGGUUGCUUAAAAAUCUGAAACUAGUGGACGAGAGAUUUGACUUGGGUGAUUUGUCAAGGUUUGUGUUAGUAACGUGAAAGUUGAUAAGUCUUAGAGCAAGUCCACCGGUGACAAAAAAAAUCCGACCCAGGUUGGAUCACAUAGACAAAGUGACACAGCCUAAAAAUAGUUGCUUCCACCCAUGAAAAUUUUGGGGCGAGUAUUGUAACCCAGGUGAGUUUGGGUUAAAUUUUAUGCGAGUAUAGUAACCCAAAAUCUAACCCAGGCUAAUUAAUUCCUCAACCGCCACAUCAGCAAAAGAGCCCAACGUGGCUGACGUUAGACAGGGCCAUUCUCUUUCUCUCUCUACUUCUUUACUCGCCAGUGGCUCGUGUGAAGAGCAGUGGCUCAUAUAUAUAUAUGCCGCAUGACCACGUGAGGAGCACUGCUCAUGGAGAAGACAUACAAUGUAGCUGGGACCCAUUAGAUAUUAUUAAAUGUAAAAAUGUAAAAAUAUCAAGUAAAACCAUUAAUUACAAAAAAAAAAAAAUACGUAAAAACUAGGGUUACAUCAAUUAGAAAAAAAAAAAUUCUAUAAGAUGUAAACUACAGGAAAACUAUAUAAACUGUUAUGAAAAAUUCCCUAGCGUUUAUAAAUAAUUUCUUAUAUCCCUAGCUAACCAAUUUAGAUUGUGUAUUUUUUUUAUUAUGUUUGUGUUUUCAUCCUUACAAAAUUUCAAAUAAUUGUAAACUUUUUUAGGCUUGGCUUGUCAAUUAAAUGUCAAGAAAUAAAAAAAAUUCAAUAAGUCAUAUUUUUUUAUGUAAUUACUAUUUAUUUACAACUAAAAUAAUUAUUCACACUUAAAAACGUUUUUUUAAAAUUCAAUAAACAGUCACUGUCACGUGUCAGCAAUCCCACAUUUUAAACGGGUGGAAACUGCUGCCCAAUCAUAGUGACUCAGAGUGACCCAGGUCACUGUGUUCAAUAUAACUCAACGGGUGAACUUGCUUUUAGUAGCUUAUAGUUGUUGAAAAAUAUAUACAACUAACAGAGCAAUAGCUUAGCUAAAUAAGAGUAGUAGUAAGUUUUUACUUGUAUCAUGAGAUGUGAGCAUAAAAACUAGCAUAGAAGAAGCACAACUAAUAUUCAUCUCAUCUACCUUUUCAUAGUAGCAUAGUAACAUUCAGUAAUAGUAGUAGCAACACAAUAACAUUCGGUAACAACAGUAUCAGAAACAUUUCAAUCGACAAUAACAACAACAAUAUUCCAGUAGACAAUAACAAGAACAUUGCAAUAAACAGUAGCAUCAACAUUCUAACAAGUGUAGUAGCAUCUAAAGCAAGACAUGAUGUGGUCUGAUUUAAUUUGAUUUUUAUUAGAAAAGACAAAAAGGACAAGAUUUAAUCUUUAAACAUAAAUUUGAUAGUUGAAACAUGAGUCACAUAUUUUAUCAAGUGUUUCAGAGAUCAACAGAAGAGAUUUCUUUACUCAUAUGACCAAUUAAUUUAAACUAUAUUUUAGACAAUUCGACUUGUUUUAAGUUAUUUAUCUCUCUCUCUCUCUCUCAUCUUGAAGGAAUGGCCAAUUAAUGUUCUUGAAAAUUUGAUGUAUAUUGAAUAAUUGAUUCUGUUUCAAACAUAUAUCUAUGCCAUAAGUCCAUAAAAAUAAGUGUUUUAUUUAAUCAAGUUCUUCGAGUUAUAGUUGGAUAAGAAAAUUAAAGAUACAAGCGUACAUCAGCUAAUAGAUAAUAUAAUUGUUCGAAAAGUAGAAAGCAAGCAGGAGAUUUUAGCUAUAGCUAGAGUUUAAGAUUUUGCCAAAGCAAGAAAUGUUGCUCUUCGACCUUUGAAAUAGGUCAACAUUGCACUGCGAUCAGGAAGGGGCUCUUUGAUUGCAGAGAUGUCCUUGAACCUUUGAAUCCAGGCAUGCAAGCGAGGGAAGCUUUCGGCAUCAAUCACUUUAACUCCAGCUAUUUCACUCAUGACAUCCAGCCACCAAGCUAGCCACCCGAAUUCUAAAUCAGCCAUUCCAAUCUCAUCUCCUCCAAAAAACUUUUUUUCGCCGAG